UGCAGUCGAGCGGACCGACGGGAGCUUGCUCCCUUAGGUCAGCGGCGGACGGGUGAGUAACACGUGGGUAACCUGCCUGUAAGACUGGGAUAACUCCGGGAAACCGGGGCUAAUACCGGAUGCUUGAUUGAACCGCAUGGUUCAAUCAUAAAAGGUGGCUUUUAGCUACCACUUGCAGAUGGACCCGCGGCGCAUUAGCUAGUUGGUGAGGUAACGGCUCACCAAGGCGACGAUGCGUAGCCGACCUGAGAGGGUGAUCGGCCACACUGGGACUGAGACACGGCCCAGACUCCUACGGGAGGCAGCAGUAGGGAAUCUUCCGCAAUGGACGAAAGUCUGACGGAGCAACGCCGCGUGAGUGAUGAAGGUUUUCGGAUCGUAAAACUCUGUUGUUAGGGAAGAACAAGUACCGUUCGAAUAGGGCGGCACCUUGACGGUACCUAACCAGAAAGCCACGGCUAACUACGUGCCAGCAGCCGCGGUAAUACGUAGGUGGCAAGCGUUGUCCGGAAUUAUUGGGCGUAAAGCGCGCGCAGGCGGUUUCUUAAGUCUGAUGUGAAAGCCCCCGGCUCAACCGGGGAGGGUCAUUGGAAACUGGGGAACUUGAGUGCAGAAGAGGAGAGUGGAAUUCCACGUGUAGCGGUGAAAUGCGUAGAGAUGUGGAGGAACACCAGUGGCGAAGGCGACUCUCUGGUCUGUAACUGACGCUGAGGCGCGAAAGCGUGGGGAGCGAACAGGAUUAGAUACCCUGGUA
rnacentral:rRNA from 1 species